AUUGAACGCUGGCGGCAGGCCUAACACAUGCAAGUCGGACGGUAGCACAGAGAGCUUGCUCUCGGGUGACGAGUGGCGGACGGGUGAGUAAUGUCUGGGGAUCUGCCCGAUAGAGGGGGAUAACCACUGGAAACGGUGGCUAAUACCGCAUAACGUCGCAAGACCAAAGAGGGGGACCUUCGGGCCUCUCACUAUCGGAUGAACCCAGAUGGGAUUAGCUAGUAGGCGGGGUAAUGGCCCACCUAGGCGACGAUCCCUAGCUGGUAUGAGAGGAUGACCAGCCACACUGGAACUGAGACACGGUCCAGACUCCUCCGGGAGGCAGCAGUGGGGAAUAUUGCACAAUGGGCGCAAGACUGAUGCAGCCAUGCCGCGUGUAUGAAGAAGGCCUUCGGGUUGGAAAGUACUUUCAGCGGGGAGGAAGGCGGUGCGGUUAAUAACCGUGCCGAUUGACGUUACCCGCAGAAGAAGCACCGGCUAACUCCGUGCCAGCCGCCGCCGUAA
rnacentral:rRNA from 1 species